rnacentral:rRNA from 1 species
AUUGAACGCUGGCGGCAGUCCUAACACAUGCAAGUCGAACGAGUGGCGGACGGGUGAGUAAUGUCUGGGAAACUGCCCGAUGGAGGGGGAUAACUACUGGCAACGGUAGCUAAUACCGCAUACCAUCGGAUGUGCCCAGAUGGGAUUAGCUAGUAGGUGGGGUAACGGCUCACCUAGGCGACGAUCCCUAGCUGGUCUGAGCGGAUGACCGGCCACACUGGAACUGAGACACGGGCAAGAAUCCUACGGGAGGCAGCAGUGGGGAAUAUUGCACAAUGGGCGAAAGCCUGAAGCAGCAAUGCCGCGUGAAUGAAGAAGGCCUUCGGGUUGUAAAGUACUUUGAGCGAGGAGGCGUUACUCGCAGAAGAAGCACCGGCUAACUACGUGCCAGCAGCCGCGGUAAUUC